rnacentral:lncRNA from 1 species
AUUCAAUGAUGCCCAUAUUUUGAGAGGUUAAAUUUCCUAGAAACCAGCUUCUAGUCUUUGUGUGUCCUGGCUUGUGCUCUUUAAAGAGACUGAAAAAAGCAUGUUCUACAAAAUCCUGUCUUGCUCCAUGGUAAUGAGGUCAGACAGACCUCCCCAGGAGCCUGACUGGAGCUACUAUACAACUGUGGGGUGGCCUUGGAAACUUGGAGACAUUUGGGGCGUGCUGAGUCACUGCUGCAGCUCAGGCCCAGGGCUCCUGUCACCACUUUGGGGAGCUGGUGGUACAAUAGAGAUAUCACUGUGGUGGGGCCUGGAAUGAGGGCCUGUCAUGGGACAGGGCACUGUAAAGAGAACAGAGACCAGGCAGGAGGAUGGCUUCAGCCCAGGAGUUUGAGGCCAGACCAGGCAACAUGGCAGUGCACACCUGUAGUCCCAACUACUCAGGAAGCAGAGGCAGGAAGACUGCUUGAGCCCAGGACUUCAAGGCAGAGGUGAGCUAUGAUUGUACCACUGCAUUCCAGCCUGGGCAACAGAACAAGACCCUGUCUGAAAAAAAAAAGCUGGAAAUACUAUUUUAUAAGUUGUAAUAUGUAACAGAUUAGUCUUAAUUGUUGAAUUAACAAGGGAAUCUAAAGUCAAGUGUAGCUUAGAGCUCUCCCUGAGGCAUACCAUUUAAGCUGACUGUACAGAAAUUAAAGUGGACAUGCAUUUUGCUAUCUGGGCAGGUUGCUACUAAUCAAAUUACCACUAUGUGUCUUGGAGGAUGAAUAGGUAAAGAAGGUGAUCAGCAAAGUACAAGUCUUCAAAACUAGAGUGCUUUUCUUCUGGGAAAUAGGGAAAAAAAAGACUUGUUUGUAGAGGGCUAGGCGCAGAAAGGAACUUGAGGAAGAGACCAGAGGGUCACAGGUUUACAUAAUUAAGAAGGAGGUGCACAUAGGAUUCAGAAGUUCAGAAUCAGGACAAUCUAAGUAAACCUGGUCCUAGAGUAGGUUUCCUAUGAUUCCUUUAAAAUGCCUUACAAAAUCUGAAGCUCUAGAACUAAAGCUCAAAGAUAUAGGAAACUUAACUACAGAGGAGGAAAAUGUAACAGCAGAGUCCUCAUAGGGAAGUUUACCUAGAAAGAAGUUUGCUUUUUGGUUUUGUCUAGAUUAUAUUUCUAUUAAAAUAUGAACAUAGUAUUUCUAUAAAAUACUUUGCAAAACUAAGGCAGUUCCUAAAAUGGGGAAGUUUUCAGGAUUACGUUCUCAUGAUUCACUGAUGUUGUGCUUAUCAUAACUAGGUAAGGUGGGGGAGGAAGUUCUAAGAAUGACGGCAUUUACAUGCAAAAACCAAACUGACAUAAACCAGCAUCAUAAAAGAAACAUGCCAUAAGAGAAUGCCCCAGGGCUAAAGUAUGACUUGAAUCAGUGAAAGGCAGGUGCUUCUAACUGGGAAAUGAUCUGAUAGGCUGUUCUGUUGCAGAAUAGACAUGGAUUAGAUUUUUGCACUACUCCACACACCUAUAGGUAGUAGAGUGAAAACCAAAAACCUUGGAGGUUUUAAUGGCAAUAAUCAUAAUUAUUGGGAAAACACUUUUUCUCCUAUGUUAAAGCCACUAUAAAAUAAUAACAUUCUUUCAUUGCUGAAUGCACCCAAAUCAUUCAGCUAUUUCUGUUAUGAAUGAUCUAGAUACUACUCUAUUGCAUUAUGGGAAAUAGCCCAGAUAAACUUUGGAAUAUCUCCAAGUUCUAUGAUUCUCUUGUCAAGAGUACAUGUAAUAUGCGACAUAUAUAUAAUAAAUACACCCAGCAAACACAUAUAUGUAUAUAUGUUUGCAUUUUGCCUAAGACCGUCCCCCUUCAGUAAGUCCAUUUUCUACUCUAAAUUUUGGAUCAGUUUCUGAGUUACCGAACCACCAAAUAUAUAACAGAAACAAACCGGAGAGCAUGGUGGGGAAGUUGGGAUAGUGAAGCAAAUGUGUGUUUCCACUACAAACAUUGUUUAUAUUGCAAAUAUAUUUGUACUCUUAUUUUUAAGAAUAUGUAAGUACAUGCUGAUUAAUGGCUAUAAGUUUCAGAACAUUAUUGGGUUUAUAGAAGCUUUUAUCUUAUGUGUUUUCUCAUUUAACUGAAUACUGAAAGUACAAUUACUAUAAAUGGAAAGUCCUUAAAAACUGUUGAUAUUAGAAAGGAAUUCUCAAAGUUGUUACUGAAAAAAUGGAAGUGUUAUAUUUGGAAGGACCUUUUUGAAUUUUAUCUAUUUUUUUCUGAGCAGGAAUAUUUUACAGUGUUCUAGAUCAUAUUGUAUCUGUUUCCACAAAAAUUACAUGCCUAUAUUUAAUUAUGUAAACCUUAAAUGGGGGAAAUUAUAAUUCUAUCAAUUUGAGAAUAUAUAAUCUUUUAAAAACACAUUUAAGAUAUAAGCCAUAUGUUAAAUUGAGUAAAUCAGGUGUUGAAAUAAUGUGCUUUACUUUCAAAUAUAGUAUCCCAGUAUUUUUUAAGUUACAAAAAAUUGGUAGCAGCCAAAGUAUAUCAGAAUAAAUUAUCAGGCUCAUAGCUCUGCUGGAGGAGGAUAUUGUUUUGACAGUUGAAAUCUGACUAAUGGUAACCUGAUAGAACGUGAAUAAUGAGAUGAUGCUUAUAGUUUGAGGACAAGGAGCUUGUCUUUGGCCUGUGAGUCAGUAUUAACAGUCCUUGCACUCAUUGGCACCAAUGCUGGCCAAGUGGCCCUGGAAAUAGGUUGCUCAGCUGACUCAUUGGUGGCACCCCUAACUCCAGUAGUGCAGUCAUUUUUCUUUGGGUCAUGAGGAUUGUCCACUGAAGAUUCUUUGCAGCAAUUUUAAUCUGCACCACCUCCUCUUCCUCUCACAAUGUCCAUCCAUUCAUUCAUUUAUUGAAAAAUAUUUAUGGUAUGUCAGGAACUAUGCUGGAUGCUGGGGAUCCAAUGGUAAGCAAUCAGACACAGUCAAACAAUCACACAACAAUUAUAUAAUCACGAACUAAGAUAGGUGCUGUGAAGGCAAGGAUAAAGCCAUGACAAUAUAACAGAGGACCCUGAAAUCACAUGGGGAGUUAGGGAAAGCUGUCCUAAGGAAGGUGAGUUUGAGUGAGAGCUAAAGCUGCACUGACAAAAAUAGCAGCCACUGUAUGUAGUUAUUUAGAUUAAUUAAAAGUAAAUAAAACUAAAAUUCAGGCCAGGCAUGGUGGCUCACGCCUGUAAUCCCAGCACUUUGGGAGGCCGAGGCGGGUGGAUCACAAGGUCAGGAUAUCGAGACCAUCCUGGCCAACAUGGUGAAACCCCAUCUCUACUAAAAAUACAAAAAGUAGCCAGGCAUGGUGGCAUGCCUGUAAUCCCAGCUACUCGGGAGGCUGAGGCAGGAGAAUCGCUUGAACCCGGGAGGAGGUUGCAGAUCGCACCACUUCACUCCAGCCUGGGCAACACAGCGAGACUCUGUCUCAAAAACAAACAAACAAAAAAAAAAUGAAAAAACACAACAACAACAACAACAACAACAACAAAACAACCUAAAAUUCAGUUUCUCAGUCACACUAGCCACAUCAACUGCUCAAUAGUCACAUGUGGCUAGUGCCUACAGAAUUGGACAGCACAGGUAUAUAAUAUUUACAUCACUGCAGAAGUUCUACUGACCAGCAUUGGUCUAAAUGAUGAAUAGGAAUUAACCAGGAAAGUGAUGAGCAAAACCAUUGUAGGUUGAGAGACUACCAUGGGCAAAGGCUCUGUGGUAGGGGAGACAAUGUACAAACUGUUACGGAAACUACAGUCCAUGGGAUUUUAGCUGGAUAAGGGACAAAGGAUAAAAGAAGAGACCUGAUGAAUUGGUAGAAAGUAGAAGGGGUUACUGGGCUGAAAAUCUAAAUUUGGACACAAAAUAGUCAUGGUGGGUGGAACGGCAAAGGAGAAGCAGGUGUGGUCAAAAAGCAGGAUGCGCCGGGCAAGGUGGCACAUGCCUGUAAUCCCAGCACUUUGGGAGGCCAAGGCGGGUGGAUCACAAGGUCAGGAGUUCAAGACCAGCCUGGCCAACGUAGUGAAACCCCAUCUCUACUAAAAAUACAAAAAAUUAGCCGGGCCUGGUGGCAGGCGCCUGUAAUCCCAGCUACUCGGGAGGCUGAGGCAGGAGAAUCACUUAAACCCCGGAGGCAAUGGUUGCAGUGAGCAGAGAUCGUGCCACUGCACCCCAGCCUGGGUGACAGUGUGAGUCUCCACCUCAAAAACUAAAAAAUAAAAAAGCAGGAUGCUUGAAUCAGCGGUUUUGGCAAUAGAUCUGUUGCAGAUGAUGACAAGGUCCAAAUGUGACCCUGAGAGUGGGUAGCUUGGAUGGAGAGAAGCUAAAGGUCAUUGGAGAUAAGGAAGUUGGGACUCAGAGGCCAGAUUAUCAUGUAUGUCAACUUUGCAUUUUGAAAUUACUGCAGCAAUUGGCAGAGUUUGGAUUUGAGGGGAACAGUCCCAAAGAGUAAAUGGGAGGCCCAGAAAUGAUAGCUACCAGCAGGGGGAAAGGAGGCCUUAUCAGAUAGCUCCACACUGACUCAGAUGAGAGAGUGCAAGGACAAGGGACCUGGAAAUGACAAUGGGGAACAAUGGGACAGCAAAGCCCUUCUCCACCUGAUGUGAGAAAGCAGACGGUCACCACUUCAGAGGACUAAAGGAGAAGCAAUGUCCUCAGGGAAAACUCAGGUUUUUGUUGGAGCAAAAAGGUGAAGGCAUGGUUGAGAGAACAGAGUGAUGACAUAGGGGAGUUUGCUGAAUACAAAGCAACGGUUCCAGAAGGCAUGUGGAAGCCCUGAGCAAGAGAGGAGGAACAGAGGGCUCAUCCAGGAGCAGUGGGGAAAAUCAGGCAAAGAGAUUGAUGACUGAGGUGGACUUAUAUUUAAGCAUUAACUGAUUUAAAAAAAAAAAAAGUCAAUGGGAAUGGGAGUGAUUACUGGCCCUACUGCUGCAAGGACUUGGCUCACUAGACCUGAUGAAGGGGUGUUCCUGCAGGAGUUUCUGCACAGGCCACUGCUUGGGAUGUUCUUGAGCCAGAGGUUGUAGUUUCAGCUCCUGUACAGCUUAGCAUAACAUUGGCUUCAGAGGCUUAGGCUUCAACACCUGACACAAUGUUGACUGUCUCAGAGGUGAGGUGUUAAGAAUACCACAGAUUGAAUACAUGAGGUGUUAAGGACCUCAGAGGUUGGGUAUUAGUUAGUUCAGUCCCAGAGAGUAGGGCAAUUGGCACUCCUAGAAGAUGCGUCUCUAUACCUGAGCAGCCUGCGGUACGCUGGUCCCAGCAGUCUGCAAGUGAUACAUGCGAUUUUCCAAUCUUUUUGAAUCAACAGCAUGUUCUCAUCAGUCUGUAAUUGUAGAUCAGAGGAUACUUUAUCAAAUAUAAUCAUUGAGCUCUAUAAUUCAUGAACUCUGCUUGUAACACAUCUUCAAUUUUUAAAUUGUGAGAACUUGCAAGAGCUGCAAGUUAUGUGCUGUUUUAAAUUUAGUUCUAACAAAAUAUAGCUGGAGGUUCUGUCAUAAGAUUAAUAAACAUACAUUAUUUGGGAGGUUAUUUAUUAUUUUAAUUAUGUGACAUUAUUUUUCCCCUCUGACAAAAGCAAUCAAGAUGACUAAAAUUGAAUUGGUGAAAAUGAACUGAUCCCCAAAGGUUAUAAAUGUUGUUGAAAAAUGUCAGGAAUUUAUUAAAUUUCCCACAUGUUAACCAAAAAAGGUUAGUAAGGUAGAUACACAGUGGUGACUUCAUGUCAGUGAAGAAUCUGACUAGAAGUAGACAGAAUUCUAGAGAUAAAUUCAUCAAAUCCUCUACUCUAUAGAUCAGGAAACUGACACUUAGGUUAGGUGCAGUGACCAUUUCCAGUGACUUUGACCUUUACUGACAAAAUGUCAGGGAAGACUUAGUACCACAGGCCAGGCACAGUGGCUCAUGCCUAUAAUCCCAGCACUUUGGGAGGCCAAGGUGAGUGGAUUGCCUGAGCUCAGAAGUUCGCGACCAGCCUGGGCAACAUGGUGAAACCACAUCUCUACAAAAAAUACAAAAAUUAAACAGGCAUGGUGGCAUAUGGAUGUAGUCCCAGCUACUUGGGGGGCUGAUGUGGGAGGAUUGCUUGAGCCUGGGAGGUUGAGGCUGCAGUGAGCCAAGAUCAUGCCACUGCACUUCAGCCUGGGUGACAGAGCGAGACCCUGUUUCCAAAAGAAAAACAAACAAACAAAACAAAAAACAAAGACUUAGUACCAGGAACCAGAUGGAAUGACAAUAAUAUUGUAAACAUUAAAUCUCCAAUAUCACAUAAUUAUAGGGUCUUAGACUUCAACUUACUAUAGGACUGUCUGGUCCAGUGUUGAAAUCCUCUUGCAGAUGGUUAUCUGCUCUUCCUUGACUACAUGCCUUGACUGGAUGUUGUAUUCUUCCAUGGCAGUUCAUUCUGUUAUGCAGUAGCUGUUUAUGUUGGAAAUUCUUUACACUGAGCUGGUGUUAUCCCUACAAUUUCACCUAUGGGUUCUGACUUCUUGAGCUGAGAUCUGCAAGAGUUAGCCCAUGACAAUUAUAUUUGCUCUAAUUCUCUUCUUUUCCAGGUAAGACACCUCUAAUUCUCAGAGUUGCAUGUCAUAUAUGAGGAAAAGUGAAGUAAAAAAAGAGGAGAAAAAAUAAUGUGUUGUGGGCAAUUACUAGAACUCAGGGAGUUAGGUUUUACUCAGCAUCAUCAAAUGCAAGCUUCUCAUCCUUUUGAGUCAGCAGCAUGUCCUUAUCAGUCCCUAAGUGAGCUCUGCAAAUCAAGAAUUCUGGUUGCAGUGUACACUUAAUUUUUAAAUUGUAAAAAGAACUAGCUAGCUUGGGCAUGGUGGCCUAUGCUUAUAACUUCAGCACUUCGGGAGACUUAGGUGGAAGGAUUGCUUGAGCUCAGGAGUCUAAGACAAGCCUGGGCAACAUAACAAGACACCAUCUCUACAAAUAAUAUAAAAAAUUAGGCAGGUGUGGUGCCACAUGCCUGUAGUCCCAGCUACUCAGGAAGCUGAAGCAGGAAGAUGGCUUGAGCCUGGGAGAUCAAGGCUGCAGUGAGCUGUGAUUGUGCUACUGCGCUCCAGCCUGAGCAACAGAACAAUACCCUGUCUUACACAUACACAAAAAAGAACUAGCUCUACUGAAAAAAUAGAACAAUUGGCCAAGUGUGGUGGCUCACCCCUGUAAUCCCAGCACUUUGAGAGGCUGAGGCAGGCAGAUCGCCUGAGGUCAGGAGUUCGAGACCAGCCUGACCAACAUGGAGAAACCCCGUCUCUACUAAAAAUACAAAAUUAGCUGGGCAUGGUGGUGGCGGGCACCUGUAAUCCCAUCUACUCGGGAGGUUGAGGCAGGAGAAUCGCUUGAACCCAGGAGGCAGAGAUUGCAGUGAGCCAAGAUCGCGCCACCGCACUCCAGCCUGGGCAACAAGAGAGAAACUCUGUCUCAAAAAAAAAAAAAAAAGAGAACAAUUAUAACACAAAGGGGAGUAAUAGAAUCCAAUGGAAUAAAAAUUUACACUUUUUAUUUGUAAAAAGUCUGAGAUCACUAAGUUAAUAUAAGAAUCUCUAGACUUCAUAUUGUGCUAAAACAUAAUAGUGCUCAAAACAUUGCAGCUUUGUUAUAAAAAAUAAAAUUCUUAGUUGUUAUUUAACUCUAUCCUUAAAUAAAGAAAAAAAACCCAUUUCUUUCCACCUCUUCAAAUAUUAAAAUUCCAGGAAACAACUGAUAUGCUAGGAUAUUCUUAGCUAAGAUUUAAAUUAGAUUUGGGAAAGUUGUGCAUGUGUCAUUUUCAAUGGUUCGUAGAGCAUAAAAGCACAAAUUUACUUUGAUUUUUGAUUCUAAUUUGAAUCCUAGAAGGAACUGUUUUAUUUUCUAGAAAAUCUAGUACAUGGAUAGUGUUUAUUUAAAUAUGUACAAAUAUAAAUGUCCUCAUGAGUUCAAAGUAUAAAAUAAGUAUAAAAUAAGUAUAUUUUUUAAACCAAAAGGCAGAUGAACAUACACACUGUGAUGGUUAGUACUCAAUGUCAACUUGAUUGGAUUGAAGGAUACGAAAUAUUGAUCCUGGCUUUGUCUCUGAGGGUGUUGCCAAAGGAGAUUAACAUUUGAGUCGGUGGGCUGGGAAAGGCAGACCCAUCCUUAAUCUGGGUGAGCACAAUUGAAUCAGCUGCCAGUGCAGCUCAAAUAAAAAGCAGGCAGAAAAGAUGUGAAGAGAGACUGGCCUACCCUCGCAGCCAACAUCUUUCUCCUGUGCUGGAUGAUUCCACGCCUCAAACUCCAAAUUCUUCAGUUUUGGAAGUCAGACUGGCUCUCCUUGCUCCUCAGCCCGCAGACAGCCUAUUGUGGGACCUUGUGAUCAUGUGAGUUAAUACUGAAAAAACUCCCCUUUAAAUAGAUAUAUCUAUUCCAUUAGUUCUGUUCCUCUAGAGAACUCUAAUACAUACGCUCAUCUGACAAACCUAGCCAUAACAAAGCUACAGAGAUUCUGAUGUUUGUUCAGAGACCGAUUUACCUUUAGACAAAAGUAUUUUUAAAACACAGUCUAAAAAUCAGAGAUAAAUCAAUUUGAAUGGAAUUUUGUUACUUACAAAUUGCUUUGAGUCUGGUGGGAUUUUCAAAUUCUGACCCUAACUAGAUUUGGCUCUAUGUAAAUUUGUAGUUAAAAGGUUUCACUCUGUAUGGGUCUAUAAUCAUUUAUUUACCCAUAUAUUACAUGUCUUUUUGCCUGAGGAGGACUGAAAAAAAAUGGACUUUAUUUAUUAGACUGCCCACGAGAAGAGUAAGUCCAGUGAAAACAUUUUUGUUAAGCCUUUCCCAUUUGUUUGCUAGGAUAAUAGUGAUGUUAAACUUGAGAGUUGUAUGUACAUGCAUGUUUAAAUCAAAUUUGGUAAUUAGGUUGUUUUAUACAAUGAUCAUUGAAUUUGCUUAAUGCCCACUGCAUGCUAGGCAUUUGCAAAGUGUUGGAAGAGAUUUAAAGACAAAUAAGAUAGUUCUUAUUCCACAUUGUGAUUGCUGAAACUGAUACCUGAAGAAAUAAUUAUGAUACAGCACGGUAUCUUAUAAGAUAUACAAAUUGUUGUUGUAAUAUAAAAUAACUUAUUAGGCUGGGCAUGGUGGCUCACACCUGUAAUCCUAGCACUUUGGGAGGCCACGGUGGGUGGAUCACAAGGUCAAGAGAUCAAGACCAUCCUGGCCAAUAUGGUGAAACCCCGUCUCUACUAAAAAUACAAAAAUUAGCUGGGCAUGGUGGUACACAUCUGUAGUCCCAGCUACUUGGGAGGCUGAGGCAGGAGAAUCACUUGAACCUGGGAGGUGGAGGUUGCAGUGAGCCGAGAUUGCACCACUGCACUCCAGUCUGGCAACAGAGUGAGACCCCGUUUCAAAUAAUAAUAAUAACUUAUUGUAGGUUGGUUACGGUGGCUCAUGCCUAUAAUCCCAGCACUGUGGGAGGCCGAGGUGGAUGGAUAACCUGAAGUCAGGUGUUUGAAACCAGCCUGGCCGACAUGGCAAAACCCCGUCUCUACUAAAAAUACAAAAAUUAGCGGGGCAUGGUGGUGGGUGCCUGUAAUCCCAGCUACUCCGGAGGCUGAGGCAGGAGAAUUGCUUGAACCCAGGAGGUGGAGGUUGCAGUGAGCCAAUAUCGAACCACUGCACUCCAGCCUGGGCAACAGAGUGGGGCUUUGUCUCAAAAUAAAUAAAUAAAUAAAAUAAAAUAACUUACUAUAAUAUGGUAGAAAGAUUCAAAUAGAAGUUCCAUGUAGAGUGAAGACUUUAAAACUGUACUGAAUGAUGCAAGAAUUUUUAAAAGUGAAAAGAAAGUUAUGAGACAAAAUUACCCAACUCUUUCCAGACCUUUUAUUUUGCACAUUUCUGAUUAAACAAAGCAUAUUGUGUCUCUCUCUAGUUUUCUGAGCACCUCAACUUUGCUUAAAACUUUCUAAAAGAUUUUUCAGAGAACUUCAUGGAAGAGAUCAUUUUGAGCUGAGCCUUGAGGAAAUGAGGAUUUUCUGAGCAGGAAGGAAGCUGAACACCAUUCCAAAUAUAAGAAACUAGAGGUGCAAAGGCAGAGAGGUGUACUCUGGGGAAUGGGAAGCGUUGGGCUGCUUAUUGGGGUGUGAGAAAGGAAAUAGUAGCAGGUGCAGCCAGAAAGGAGCCAGAGCCAGGCUAUGAAGGGUCUACUAAACAUCCUCAGACAACAGAGAAAGGACGGAACAUUUUUUGUUUUGUUUUAUUUUUUACUUUUAUUUGUAAAUAAUUUCCAGUUUACAGAAAAGUUGAAAGUAUGAAUAGUAUAUGGAAUGCCUGUAUAUCCUUUAUCCAGAUUCACCUAUUGUUAAUACUUUAUCCUACUUGCUUUUUUGUUUGAUCUCUCUCUCCUUUUUAUUAUAAAUACAUAUAUGUAUGUGUGUGCACAUAUAUAUGUACAUAUACACACACACACAGAAUUGUUUCUAUACCAUUUGAAAAUAAAUUGGAUGAAUCAUUAUGACCUUCUUCUAAAUAUCUCUGUUCUUUUUUCCUAAAAAUAGGGCUAUUCUCUUCUUAACCACAGAAUAGUUAUCAACUUUAGUAAAUUUAACCCUAAUAAAAUACUUUUUAUCUACCCUGGAAUUCAUAUGCCAAUUUUGUCAAUUAAAGCAAUAUCUGUUAUGGUAUUUUUCCCCCUUCAAGAACAGGAUCAAGUCUAACCUAAAGUAUUGUACUUAGUUGUCAUGUCCAUUUACUAUUUUAAUGUAGAACAGUCCUGAAGCCUGUCUGUGACUUUUAUGAUGUUGACAUUUUUUAAAUAACAUAGUCCCCCUUUUAAAAAAAAAAAAAAUAGAACAAUUCUUCAGAAAGGCCCUGGGGAAGAGGAAAAGCUUUUCUAGCAAUUGAUGUCAGCAACCCACCAAGGAACCAGUGGAAGAAAUCUAAGAUGGCUGACUAAAUGCGGCUAGUACACAGCUCUUCUGUGGAGAGGAAAAAAAAUGGCAAGUAGAUAUUCACACUUCAAAUAGAUCAUCUAAGAGAAAACACUAGAAUUCAACAGGAAAGUGGUAGGAAGCAUCAAAAGCAAAGAAGGAGAGGGAGGCAGGGCAACCUACUGGGUCAAGAUCAGCUGGAAGCUGAGAAAACCUCCCUUAAAUAGGGAAAGGGUAAGUGAAUGACCCCCAGGGCUCCACAUUCCCACCAUGGACUUCUACAUUCCUAGCCACAGGAAAGCACCUUGACCUUCUUGGGCUUCAGACGAACAUACAGAGCUACUUAGAGAUUGUGUAGAGGCACUACUUUAGAAAGAACACUCACACUGAGUCCCACAGGCUUCUGAGCCCCAAGCAACUGCCACAUGGCACCAUUCUGAGCACUCAGCCCCCAGAAGACUGUCAAAGAAGAGAGGAGGAUGGCACUUUUACACACACCAACGACAAAUCUUACUUCCUCCUCUGCCACAGUCUGUUGUUGGACCAAAAGGUGAGAGAACUGCACAUCCCAUAGCUGCCUUCCUAAACUGCUCUCACUGAGAGUGGCCCCAUCCUCCUCAGAGACAGGCCCACAGCACAGCCACCACUGCCCCUACCUGAGCAUUCUGCCAACAGCCUGGGGACCACCUGCCUUUGCCUAUUAUAACCAGUGAUGGAACACACUACCAGAGAGCCUGAAGUCCACUAUCCUGGUCCUGUCCUCCAGUUCUCAAGCAUGCUGUCCAAGGGCCUGGAGGUUGCCCUGCCCAGCCACUGUUGGCAGCUGAACACUGUUGGCAGCUGAAUACUUCUCAAGUGCCAUUCAAAACUUCAUGUAUCAGUAAUAACUUUAAAUGUAAAUGGAUUAAAUUAUCCACUUAAUAUGUAUAAAGUGGCUGAAUGGAUAAAGAAAAAAUAUCCAAUUAUAUGCUGCCUACAAGAAAUAUACUUUAUCUGCCAAGACACAUAUAAACUUAAAGUAAAGAAAUGGAAAAAAAAUAUUACACAAAAUGAAAACCAAAAGCAAGCAGGAGUAGCUAUACUUAUAUCAGAUAAAACAAACUUUGAGUCAAAAACAGUAAACAAACAAACAAAACCAAAGAAAGUCACUAUACAGUGAUAAAGGGAGCAAUCCAGCAAAAUGAAAUAACAAUUCUGAAAACAUAUGCACUCAGCACUGGAGCACCCAGAUUUGAAAAGCAAAUAUUACUAGAUCUAAAGAGAGAAAAACAUUCCAAUAAAACAAUAGUGGGGGAGUUCAACACCCUACUCUCAGCAUGAGAUAGAUCAUCUAGAUGGAAAAAUCAACAAAGAAGCAGUGGAUUUAAUCUGCGCUUUAAACCAAAUGGACCUAACAGAUAUUUACAGAACAUUUUAUCCAACAACUACAGAAUAUACAUUCUUCUCAUCAGCACAUGGAAUGUUUUUCAGGAUAGCCCAUAUAUUAGGCCACAAAACAAGUCUCAACUUUUUUUAAAAUCAAAAUUAUAUCAACUGUCUUCUCAGACUACAGUGGAAUAAGACUAGAAAUUAAUACCAACAAGAAUUUUGGAAACUAUAAAAAUACAUGGAAAUUAAACAACACAGUCCUGAACAACCAUUGACUCAACAAAAAAGUAAGAUGGAAAUAAAAAAUAUUCUUGAAACAAAUGAAAAUAGAAACACAGCAUAUCAAAAUCUAUGGGAUACAGCAAAAGCAAUGCUAAGUGGAAAGUUUAUAGCAAUAAACACCUAAAUCAAAAAAAUGGAGGCUGGGCUCAGUGGCUCAUGUCUGUAAUCCCAGCACUUUGGGAGGCUGAGAUGGGCAGAUUGCUUGAGCCUAGGAGUCUGAGAUCAGCAUGGGCAACAUGGCGAAACCAUGUCUCUACAAAACAUACAAAAAAUUAGCUUGGUGUGGUGGUGCACACUUGAGUACCAGCUACCCAAGAGACUGAGGUGGGAGGAUUGCUUGAGCCAAGGAGAGAGAGGUUGCAGUGACCUGAGAUCAUGCCACUCUACUGCACUUCAGCCUGCACAAGAGAGUGAGACCCUGUCUCAAAAAAAAAAAAAAAAAAUCAGGAUCAGGUGCAGUGGCUCAUGCCUGUAAUCCCAGCACUUUGGAAGGCUGAGGUGGGUGGAUCACCUAAGCUCAGGAGUUCGAGACCCGGGCAAUGUAGUGAAACCCCGUCUCUACCAAAAUAUACAAAAAUUAGCCAGGCAUGGUGGCACACACCUGUAGUCUCAGCUACUCUGGAGGCUGAGGUGGGAGGAUCGCUUGAUCUGGGAGACAGAGGUUGCAGUGAGCCAAGGUUGCACCACUGCACUCCAGCCUGUGUGACAGAGUGAGACCCCAUCUCAAAGAAAAAAAAAAAGAGAAGGAUUUCAAAUAAAAACCUAAGGAGACAUCUCAAGGAACUAGAAAAGUGAGAAUAUAUGAAACUCAAAAUUAGUGAAAGAGUAAUAAAGAUCAGGGCAGAACUAAAUAAAACAGAGUCUAAAUGAAAAAAAUACAAGGCCGGGCAUGGUGGCUCACGCCUGUAAUCCCAGCACUUUGGACGGCUGAGGCAGGCAGAUCAUGAGGUCAGGAGAUUGAGACCAUCCUGCCUAACAUGGUGAAACCCCAUCUCUGCUAAAAAAAACUUAGCCGGGCGUGGUGGCGGGUGCCUGUAGUCCCAGCUACUCAGGAGGCUGAGGCAGGAGAAUGGCGUGAACCUGGAGGCAGAGCUUGCAGUGAGCCAAGAUCGCGCCACUGCACUCCAGCCUGGGCAACAGAGCAAGACUCUGUCUCAAAAAAAAAUAAAUAAAUAAAUAAAUAGGCCAGGCGUGGUGGCUCAAGCCUGUAAUCCUAGCACUUUGGGAGGCAGAGGUGGGUGGCUCAUGAGGUCAGGAGUUUGAGACCAUCCUGGCCAACAUGGUGAAACCCCGUCUCUACUAAAAACAAACAAAAAAAUAGCCGGGCGUGGUGGCGGGCGCCUGUAGUCCCAGCUACUCGGGAGGCUGAGGCAGGAGAAUGGCGUGAACCCAGGAGGCAGAGCUUGCAGUGAGCCAAGAUGGCGCCACCGCACUCCAGCCUGGGGGACAGAGCGAGACUCUGUCUCAAAAAAAAAAAAAAAAAAAUCAUAAUAAUACAAAGGAUCAAUGAAACAGUUGUUUUUUUAAAAAAGAUAAAAUUGAUAAACCGCUAGCUGAAGACCCAAAUAAAAUUAGAAAUGAAAAAGAAGACAUUACAACUAUACAACUGAUACCAUAGAAAUACAAAAGAUCAUCAGAGACUUUUAUAAACAACCAUACAUUAACACACUGGAAAGCCUAGAGGAAAUGGAUGUAUGUUCCUAGAGGAAAUGGAUGUUUCUGAAAACAUACACCCGACCAAGAUUGAAUCAGGAGGAAAUCAGAAACUUGAAUAGACCAAUUAUGAAUAGCAAAGUUGAAUCAGUUAUAAAAAAUUUCCCAAUAAAGAAAAGCUCAGGACUGGAUGGAUUCAUAGCCAAUUCAUAUCAAAUGUAUAAAGAAGAACUAAUACCAAUCCUCCUGAAACUAUUCCAAAAAAUUAAAGACAAAGGAACUCCUCCUAACUCAUUCUGUGGGGUCAGUGUUACCCUGAUACCAAAACUAGACAGCACAACAGAAAAAAGAAAACUACCGGCCAAUAUCCCUGAUUAACAUAGACACAAAAAUUCUCAACAAAAUACUAGCAAACAGACUCUGACAACAGAUCAAAAGGUAAUGCAACAUGAUUAAGUGGGAAUUAUACCAGAGACACAAGGAUGGUUCAACAUAUGCAAAUUAAUAAACAACACACAUCACAUCAAAAGAAUGAAGGACAAAAACCAUAUGAUUAUCUCAAUAGAUGCAGAAAAGGCAUUUGAUAAAAUUCAACAUCCCUUCAUAAUAAAACUCAACUAGGCAUAGAAAGAACAUGCCUCAAGGCGAGGUGUGGUUCACGCCUGUAAUCCCAGCACUUUGGGAGGCUGAGAUGGGCGGAUCACAGGGUCAGGAGAUUGAGACCAUCCUGGCCAACAUGGUGAAACCUCGUCUCUACUAAAAAUAAAAAAUAAAAAUAAAAAAAUUAGCUGGGUGUGGUGAUGUGCACCUGUAGUCCCAGCUACUAGGGAGGCUGAGGCAGGAGAAUCGCUUGAACCCAGGAGGCAGAGGUUGCAGUGAGCCGAGAUUGUGCCACUGCACUCCACACUACAGCCUGGUGACAGAACAAGAUGACUCCAUCUCAAAAAAAAAAAAAAAAAAAAAAAAAGAAAGAACGUACCUCAAAAUAAUAAAGACCACAUACAACAAACGCACAGCUAACAUCAUACUGAAUGGGGAAAAGCUGAAAGCCUUUCCUCUAAGAUCUGGAACAAGACAAGGAUGCUCACUUUCACCACUCCUAUUCAAGAUCGUUGCCAGAACAAUCAGGCAAGAGAAAGAAAUAAAAGGGAUCCAAAUUGGAAAAGAGGAAGUCAAAUUGUCCUUCUUUGCCAAUGAUAUGAUCUUAUAUCUAGAAAAAUCUAAAGAUUUCACCAAAAAAACUCCUAGAUUUGAUAAACACAUUCAAUAAAAUUGCAGGAUACAAAAAUCAAUAUACAAAAGUCAGUAGCAUUUCUGUACACCAAUAAUGAACAACGGGAGAAGGAAAUCAAGAAAGCAAUCUCAUUUACAAUAGCUACAAAAAAAAAAUGCCUAGGAAUAAAUUUAACCAAGGUGAAAGAUCUCUACAAGGAAAACUACAAAACACUGAUGAAAGAACUUGAAGAGGACACAAACAAAUAAAAAGUCAUCCCAUGCUCAUGAAUCAGAAUAACUAAUAUCAUUAAAACAACCAUACUGCCCAAAGCAAACUACAGAUUCAAUGAAAUCUCUACCAAAAUACAAAUGUUGUUUUUCACAGAAUUAGAAAAAACAAUCUUAAAAUAUUCAUGGAACCAAUAAAGCGUCAGAAUAGCCAAAGUAACCCUGAACAAAAAGAACAAAGCUGAGCCAGGUGCAGUGGCUCACACCUAUAAUCCCAACACUUUGGGAGGCUGCAGUGGGCGGAUCAUGAGGUCAGGAGUUUGAGACCAGCCUGACCAACAUGGUGAAACCCCAUCUCUACUAAAAAUACAAAAAUUAGCCAGGUGAGGUAGCACGUGUCUGUAAUCCCAGGUACUCAGGAGGCUGAGGCAGGAGAAUUGCUUGAGCCCAGGAGGUGGAGGUUGCAGUGAGCCAAGAUUGCGCCACUGCACUCCAGCCUGUGUGACAGAGCAAGACUCCAUCAAAAAAAAAAAAAAAAAAAGUGGGCAAAAGACAUGAAUAGACAUUUAUCAGAAGAAGACAUACAAAUGGCCAACAGAAAUAUGAAAAAAUGCUCAAAAUCACUAAUCAUCAGGGAAAUGCAAAUCAAAACCACAAUGAAAUACCAUAUUACGCUGGUUAGAAUGGUUAUUACUAAAAAGACAAAAAAUAACAAAUGCUGGCAAGAAUGUGGAGUAAAGGGAACUCUGACAGACUUUUGAUGGGAAUGUAAAUUAGUACAACCAAUGUGGAAAACAGUAUGGACAUUUCUCAAAAAACUAAAGAUAGAACUACUGUAUGAUCCAGCAAUCCCACUGCUGGGUGCUUAUCCAAGGAAAAGAAGUCUGUACGUCAAAGGAAUACCUGCACUGUCAUGUUCAUCAUGGCACUAUUCACAAUAGCAAAGAUAUGGAAUCAACCUAAUUGUCCAUCAAUAGAUGAAUUGAUAAAAUGUACUCUGUAAAAACGCACCAAUCAGCGCUCUGUGUCUAGCUAAAGGUUUGUAAAUGCACCAAUCAGCACUCUGUAAAAACGCACCAAUCAGUGCUCUGUGUCUAGCUAAAGGUUUGUAAACGCACCAAUCAGCACUCUGUGAAAACGGACCAGUCAGCACUCUGUAAAAUGGACCAAUCAACACUCUGUGAAAUGGACCAAUCAGCAGGACAUGGGUGGGGCCAAAUAAGGGAAUAAAAGCUGGCCACCGGAGCCAGCAGGGGCAACCCGCUAGGUCCCCUUCCAUGCCAUGGAAAGCUUUGUUCUUUUGCUUUUCACAGUAAAUCUUGCUGCUGCUGAAAAAAAAAAAAAAAAAGGAAAGGAAGAAAAUGUGCUAUAUAUACACAAUGGGAUACAAUUAAGCUAUAAAAAAGAAUUAAAUCAUGUUAUUUGCAACAGCAUGGCUGGUACUAGAGGUCAUUAUGUUGAGUGAGAUAAGCCAGGCCCAGAAAGACAGAUACUGCAUUUUCUCACUCAUAUGUGAAAGCUGAAAAAAAAGAUCUCAUGGACAUAAAGAACAGAAUAGAUACAGCAGCUGGGAAGGGUGUAUGGGUGGGAAGGGGGGAUAGAGAGAGGUUGAUGGGCAAAAACAUAAUGGCUGAUUAGAAGAAAUAACCCCCAAUGUUCAGUGGCAGAGCAGGAUGACUACAGUUACCAACAAUGUAUUGUAUAUUUCAAAGUAGCUAGAACAGAGAACUUGAAUUUUU